rnacentral:rRNA from 1 species
UACGUAGGGCGCAAGCGUUGUCCGGAAUUAUUGGGCGUAAAGAGCUCGUAGGCGGCUUGUCGCGUCGGCUGUGAAAACCCGGGGCUCAACCCCGGGCCUGCAGUCGAUACGGGCAGGCUAGAGUCCGGCAGGGGAGACUGGAAUUCCUGGUGUAGCGGUGAAAUGCGCAGAUAUCAGGAGGAACACCGGUGGCGAAGGCGGGUCUCUGGGCCGGAACUGACGCUGAGGAGCGAAAGCGUGGGGAGCGAACAGG